rnacentral:lncRNA from 10 species
AUAAAUAUCUUACUCAAUAUCAUUUAUAUUACCUCUGCUUCUCUGACGGAACAUUCACUUACAUGGAUAUAUUUUGUAGAAAUAACCAAAACAGCUCUGAUGACUGGAGGUAGAUGAUGGGGAAAGACAAGAGACAAAGAAGCUUCUAGCUGCUGUUCCUGAAUCAGAGGAUCUCCCAAAAGUGAUACAGACCAGGGAUCGGUGAAUACUGGGUAGAAGACGGCGGUUUCCUGGCAAAGGCCCCACCAUCAAGCCUGAAGACCUGCAGCCCUAAAUGAGGACAGAUGUGACCUGCAAGCAAGGAGACGAGGAGGCAAGCAGACCAGCAGACCAGCAGACCAGCAGACCAGCAGACCAGCAAUGACGGAAUGAUGUGGCAGACAAAGAGAGAGGAGGAAGGAUGUCUGGACACCGAGGGGAGUUUGGCCAGGGGCAGUCAGAAAAGAGUCCCACCACUGGGAGUCCUGACUGCAGGGGAAGACCACCUUCCCUCUCCAUUCCCCCUUCUGGCUCCUCAUCCAUCUUGCUGAAAGCCAUCUCCACCACUCAAUAAAACAUUGCAC